GUGAGGAAUUUUCCGCAAUGUGCGAAAGCCUGACGGAGCAAUGCCGCGUGAAGGAUGAAGGCCUAUGGGUUGUAAACUUCUUUUCUCAGAAAAGAAUUAUGACGGUAUCUGAGGAAUAAGCAUCGGCUAACUCUGUGCCAGCAGCCGCGGUAAGACAGAGGAUGCAAGCGUUAUCCGGAAUGAUUGGGCGUAAAGCGUCUGUAGGUUGUUUAAAAAGUAUUCUGUCAAAGAUUAGGGCUUAACCCUAGAUAGGCAGAAUAAACUUUUAAGCUAGAGUGUGGUAGAGGCAGAGGGAAUUCCCGGUGGAGCGGUGAAAUGCGUAGAUAUCGGGAGGAACACCAAAGGCGAAGGCACUCUGCUGGGCCAAUACUAACACUGAGAGACGAAAGCGAGGGGAGCAAAUGGGAUUAGAUACCCUAGUAGUCC
rnacentral:rRNA from 1 species